GAGACCCACGCCAACAGUUGCCAGCAUGUCCUCCGGGAUGGUGGGGACACUGUUGGGACCGCCUCUGCUAAAGAGGAGGAAGGAAUGGGCAACGGUAGGUCAGCAUGCCCCGAAUUAUCUGGGCUACACGCGGGCUACAAUGGGUGGGACAAUGGGUAUCGACACCGAAAGGUGAAGGCAAUCUCCUAAACCCAUCCUUAGUUCGGAUUGUGGGCUGCAACUCGCCCACAUGAAGCUGGAAUCCGUAGUAAUCGUGUUUCAAAAUAGCACGGUGAAUAU
rnacentral:rRNA from 1 species